rnacentral:rRNA from 1 species
CGCUGGAGAAUUGAGGGGGGCUGCUCCUAGUACGAGAGGACCGGAGUGGACGCAUCACUGGUGUUCGGGUUGUCAUGCCAAUGGCACUGCCCGGUAGCUAAAUGCGGAAGAGAUAAGUGCUGAAAGCAUCUAAGCACGAAACUUGCCCCGAGAUGAGUUCUCCCUGAGACUUUAAGUCUCCUGAAGGAACGUUAAAGACGAUGACGUUGAUAGGCCGGGUGUGUAAGCGCAGCGAUGCGUUGAGCUAACCGGUACUAAUGAACCGUGAGGCUUAACCUU